rnacentral:rRNA from 1 species
GACGAACGCUGGCGGCGUGCUUAACACAUGCAAGUCGAACGAUGAAGCCGGAGCUUGCUCUGGUGGAUUAGUGGCGAACGGGUGAGUAACACGUGAGUAACCUGCCCUUGACUCUGGGAUAAGCGUUGGAAACGACGUCUAAUACCGGAUACGAGCUAGGACCGCAUGGUCACUAGCUGGAAAGAACUUCGGUCAAGGAUGGACUCGCGGCCUAUCAGUUAGUUGGUGAGGUAACGGCUCACCAAGACGACGACGGGUAGCCGGCCUGAGAGGGUGACCGGCCACACUGGGACUGAGACACGGCCCAGACUCCUACGGGAGGCAGCAGUGGGGAAUAUUGCACAAUGGGCGCAAGCCUGAUGCAGCAACGCCGCGUGAGGGACGACGGCCUUCGGGUUGUAAACCUCUUUUAGCAGGGAAGAAGCGCAAGUGACGGUACCUGCAGAAAAAGCACCGGCUAACUACGUGCCAGCCGCCGCAGUAA